rnacentral:rRNA from 1 species
UACGUAGGGUGCAAGCGUUGUCCGGAAUUAUUGGGCGUAAAGAGCUCGUAGGCGGUUUGUCGCGUCUGCUGUGAAAACUCGAGGCUCAACCUCGAGAGGUCGGUGGAAACCGUGUGGCUAGAGUCCGGAAGAGGAGAGUGGAAUUCCCGGUGUAGCGGUGAAAUGCGCAGAUAUCGGGAAGAACACCCGUGGCGAAGGCGGCUCUCUGGGACGGUACUGACGCUGAGACGCGAAAGCGUGGGGAGCGAACAGG